rnacentral:misc_RNA from 1 species
GAGGAAACAAGAACCGCUUCUCAACCAGCGGGCUAGACAAAUUCUCCUUGGUAAUGACAGAACUUCAGGCUAGGAGGGAGCAGAUCUUGGUCAUGGCCGGCUCGCCCGCUUCUGCUGUGGUGCUCUUCAUGUACAACAAUUCUUGCGACUGGAUUCCGAUUGUCGUUCGCUUGCCCAAGACGCCAACUAAGAAAUCGCAAACCCAGAAGCUUCAAUUGUCUAAACCGCUGCCUCCACCCUCACUGGAAAAGGAAAAAAAUAAUGUUGUGAGAAGUGUGGAGAAAGCGAG